UACGUAGGGCGCAAGCGUUAUCCGGAAUUAUUGGGCGUAAAGAGCUCGUAGGCGGUUUGUCGCGUCUGGUGUGAAAAUCCAGGGCUUAACCCUGGACCUGCAUCGGGUACGGGCAGACUAGAGUGCGGUAGGGGAGAUCGGAAUUCCUGGUGUAGCGGUGAAAUGCGCAGAUAUCAGGAGGAACACCGGUGGCGAAGGCGGAUCUCUGGGCCUUACCUGACGCUCAGGUGCGAAAGCUAGGGGAGCGAACAGG
rnacentral:rRNA from 1 species